rnacentral:rRNA from 1 species
AUUGAACGCUGCGGCAUGCCUUACACAUGCAAGUCGAACGGUAACAGGUCUUCGGAUGCUGACGAGUGGCGUACGGGUGAGUAAUACAUCGGAACGUGCCUAGUAGUGGGGGAUAACUACUCGAAAGAGUGGCUAAUACCGCAUGAGAUCUACGGAUGAAAGCAGGGGAUCGCAAGACCUUGUGCUACUAGAGCGGCCGAUGGCAGAUUAGGUAGUUGGUGGGAUAAAAGCUUACCAAGCCGACGAUCUGUAGCUGGUCUGAGAGGACGAUCAGCCACACUGGGACUGAGAAACGGCCCAGAUUCCUACGGGAGGCAGCAGUGGGGAAUUUUGGACAAUGGGCGCAAGCCUGAUCCAGCAAUGCCGCGUGCAGGAUGAAGGCCUUCGGGUUGUAAACUGCUUUUGUACGGAACGAAAAGCCCCGGGUUAAUACCCUGGGGUCAUGACGGUACCGUAAGAAUAAGCACCGGCUAACUACGUGCCAGCAGCCGCCGUAA